rnacentral:rRNA from 1 species
ACUCAAAUGAAUUGACGGGGACCCGCACAAGCGGUGGAGCAUGUGGUUUAAUUCGACGAUAAGCGGGGAACCUUACCCGGUCUUGACAUCUUGGGAAGGCUUUAGAAAUAGAGCUGUGCCUUCGGGAACCCAAUGACAGGUGAUGCAUGGUUGUCGUCAGCUCGUGCCGUGAGGUGUACCCUUAAGUGGGGUAACGAGCGCAACCCUCGCACUAUGUUAAAUAUUCAUAGUGGACUGCCGGCGAUAAGCCGGAGGAAGGUGGGGAUGACGCCAAAUCAGCAUGUCCCUUAUGACCGGGGCGACACACGUGCUACAAUGGGUGCUACAAUGGGACGCCAAGCCGCAAGGUGGAGCAAAUCCCAUCAAAGGCACCCCCAGUUCGGAUUGAGGGCUGCAACUCGCCCUCAUGAAGUCGGAAUCGCUAGUAACCGCGUAUCAGCCAUGGCGCGGUGAAUACGUUCUCGGGUCUUGUACACACCGCCCGU